rnacentral:lncRNA from 1 species
ACGAUAACUAUAUAACAAAUCGCAAAAAUAAUUAACACUGCUAAUAACGUAUUAAUUGUUUUUUAUUAUAUCAUAUAAUCUGGAAAGCUUAGAGAAAGAACAAAAGUUAUAACCAAACAGAGAUAGUUGUCGGCUAGAGACGUCAGAGACGAAACUAACCUUCAAAGUGAGACGUUGAAAGGCUAUUAGAAGUGUAAGACAAUGUUUUGUCGGAGGGUAAAAUCGAUAAUACGAAUCAGAUAGGUUGCGCGUGGAUUGAGGAGAUCUAUGUCUGGUUCAGUUCUAUCUUUACCUCUCUAACCAAACGCUCCAAAACACAUGCCGUGUCGCGUCCUUUUAUUUACUUUUUUUUUUUUUGUAAUCGUUAGGACAAAUUUCAAUGUCCUUCGAAUAUGUAAUAGGAUCAAAUGUUGUAUUUCUGUCUGGAAAUCGUGUAUCUGAAACUGUUCAUAUAGUAAAAGUUUCACAUGAGUUUAUUCGAAAUGUGAUUAAUUAUUUGCAUAGUUGGGACUUUAAAGAAAAAAGAUAGCUGUUGUGAAAUUUCGUUCUAACACACCAGUUUAAAAAUCAUCUAUCAUUGGCAUAACUGAUAACUCUAUAUUAA